rnacentral:rRNA from 1 species
UACGAAGGGGGCUAGCGUUGCUCGGAAUUACUGGGCGUAAAGCGCACGUAGGCGGAUUGUUAAGUCGGGGGUGAAAUCCUGGAGCUCAACUCCAGAACUGCCUUCGAUACUGGCGACCUUGAGUCCGGGAGAGGUGAGUGGAACUGCGAGUGUAGAGGUGAAAUUCGUAGAUAUUCGCAAGAACACCAGUGGCGAAGGCGGCUCACUGGCCCGGUACUGACGCUGAGGUGCGAAAGCGUGGGGAGCAAACAGG